GUUCCACAGGGAUACUGGCCCAUGUUGACUCUACAAGGUGUUGAAAGCGUUCCACAGGGAUGCUGGCCCAUGUUGACUCUACAAGGUGUCUAAAGCGUUCCACAGGGAUGCUGGCCCAUGUUGACUCUACAAGGUGUUGAAAGCGUUCCACAGGGAUGCUGGCCCAUGUUGACUCUACAAGGUGUCUAAAGCGUUCCACAGGGAUGCUGGCCCAUGUUGACUCUACAAGGUGUCUAAAGCGUUCCACAGGGAUGCUGGCCCCAUGUUGACUCUACAAGGUGUCGAAAGCGUUCCACAGGGAUGCUGGCCCAUGUUGACUCUACAAGGUGUCUAAAGCGUUCCACAGGGAUGCUGGCCCAUGUUGACUCUACAAGGUGUCUAAAGCGUUCCACAGGGAUGCUGGCCCAUGUUGACUCUACAAGGUGUUGAAAGCGUUCCACAGGGAUGCUGGACCAUGUUGACUCCAAUGCUUCACACAAUUGUGUCAAGUUGGC